rnacentral:rRNA from 1 species
AGUGAACGCUGGCGGUAGGCCUAACACAUGCAAGUCGAACGGCAGCACAGUAAGAGCUUGCUCUUACGGGUGGCGAGUGGCGGACGGGUGAGGAAUACAUCGGAAUCUACUUUUUCGUGGGUGAUAACGUAGGGAAACUUACGCUAAUACCGCAUACGACCUACGGGUGAAAGCAGGGGAUCUUCGGACCUUGCGCGAUUGAAUGAGCCGAUGUCGGAUUAGCUAGUUGGCGGGGUAAAGGCCCACCAAGGCAACGAUCCGUAGCUGGUCUGAGAGGAUGAUCAGCCACACUGGAACUGAGACACGGUCCAGACUCCUACGGGAGGCAGCAGUGGGGAAUAUUGGACAAUGGGCGAAAGCCUGAUCCAGCCAUACCGCGUGGGUGAAGAAGGCCUUCGGGUUGUAAAGCCCUUUUGUUGGGAAAGAAAAGCAGCAGGUUAAUACCCCGCUGUUCUGACGGUACCCAAAGAAUAAGCACCGGCUAACUUCGUG